rnacentral:piRNA from 1 species
UNCUAUACCACAUGCCGCCAGUUCAUAGC